AAACUCUGGCUAACCUUCUGGUCUACCCUGUACCUGCACACCUGGGGUUAGGGGAGAGGGGUGAGCUAUAAAGCCCAGUGAGCAGAAUAGUGAAAACAAUAUAUUAAAAUUUCAUGCUUUCAUGGAAUGCAACACAUCACAACAAAUCACAUCUCGGAUGGUAUUGUCACCAAUAGUCCUCUACAUAGUCCAACUGUGCCGGGACGUAGAAUGGGUACAACCGGUCUUUCCCUUAACAUAACAUAUCAUACAGUCCAACUGUGCCAGGGACGUAGAAUGGGUACAACCUGGACUUCCAUACCAUAUCAUGCCAU
rnacentral:lncRNA from 1 species